rnacentral:rRNA from 1 species
UACGAGGGGGGCAAGCGUUGUUCGGAAUUAUUGGGCGUAAAGGGCGCGUAGGCGGUUAGAUAAGUCUGAUGUGAAAUCUCUGGGCUCAACCCAGAGUCUGCAUUAGAAACUGUCGGGCUUGAGUAUGGUAGAGGAAGGUGGAAUUCCCGGUGUAGCAGUGAAAUGCGUAGAGAUCGGGAGGAACACCAGUGGCGAAGGCGGCCUUCUGGACCAAUACUGACGCUCAUGCACGAAAGCGUGGGGAGCAAACAGG